UACGUAGGGACCGAGCGUUGUCCGGAUUCAUUGGGCGUAAAGAGCUCGUAGGCGGCUGUUCAAGUCGAACGUGAAAACUCGGAGCUCAACUCCGAGCCUGCGUUCGAUACUGGACGGCUAGAGUCUGGUAGGGGGAUCUGGAAUUCCUGGUGUAGCGGUGGAAUGCGCAGAUAUCAGGAGGAACACCGAUGGCGAAGGCAGAUCUCUGGGCCGUAACUGACGCUGAGGAGCGAAAGCGUGGGGAGCGAACAGG
rnacentral:rRNA from 1 species